AGCGAACGUUAGCGGCAGGCCUAACACAUGCAAGUCGCACGAGAAUCCGGCUUCGGCCGGUAGUAAAGUGGCGGACGGGUGAGUAACACGUGGAUAAUCUGCCCUUCGGCGGGGGACAACAGUCCGAAAGGUUAGCUAAUACCGCGUACGCUCCUUGGACUUCGGCUCAGGGAGGAAAGCGAUACCGAGGGUAUCGCGCUCUUGGAUGGGCUCAUGUCCUAUCAGCUUGUUGGUGAGGUAACGGCUCACCAAGGCUUCGACGGGUAGCUGGUCUGAGAGGACGAUCAGCCACACUGGCACUGCGACGCGGGCCAGACUCCUACGGGAGGCAGCAGUAAGGAAUAUUGCGCAAUGGGCGAAAGCCUGACGCAGCGACGCCGCGUGGGGGAGUGAAGG
rnacentral:rRNA from 1 species